rnacentral:rRNA from 1 species
ACGGAAGGCAGCAGUGAGGAAUAUUGGUCAAUGGGCGAGAGCCUGAACCAGCCAAGUAGCGUGAAGGAUGACUGCCCUACGGGUUGUAAACUUCUUUUAUACGGGAAUAAAAAAGGCCACGCGUGGCCUCUUGUAUGUACCGUAUGAAUAAGCAUCGGCUAAUUCCGUGCCAGCAGCCGCGGUAAUACGGAAGAUGCGAGCGUUAUCCGGAUUUAUUGGGUUUAAAGGGAGCGUAGGCGGGUCUUUAAGUCAGUGGUCAAAGCGUGUGGCUCAACCAUACCACGCCAUUGAUACUGGAGACCUUGAGUGCACAUAAGGAUGGUGGAAUUCGUCGUGUAGCGGUGAAAUGCUUAGAUAUGACGAAGAACUCCGAUUGCGAAGGCAGCUGUCCGGGGUGUAACUGACGCUAAUGCUCGAAAGUGUGGGUAUCGAACAGGAUUAGACACCCUGGUA